rnacentral:rRNA from 1 species
AUUGAACGCUGGCGGCAUGCUUUACACAUGCAAGUCGAGCGGCAGCGCGGGGGCAACCCUGGCGGCGAGCGGCGAACGGGUGAGUAAUGCAUCGGAACGUACCCUGGAGUGGGGGGUAACGCCGCGAAAGCGGCGCUAAUACCGCAUAUGCUCUGAGGAGGAAAGUGGGGGACCGCAAGGCCUCACGCUCUGGGAGCGGCCGAUGUCCGAUUAGCUAGUUGGUGAGGUAAAGGCUUACCAAGGCGACGAUCGGUAGCUGGUCUGAGAGGAUGAUCAGCCACACUGGGACUGAGACACGGCCCAGACUCCUACGGGAGGCAGCAGUGGGGAAUUUUGGACAAUGGGGGCAACCCUGAUCCAGCCAUGCCGCGUGAGUGAAGAAGGCCUUC